rnacentral:rRNA from 1 species
GGGUUGUGAGGUUAAGCGACUAAGCGUACACGGUGGAUGCCCUGGCAGUCAGAGGCGAUGAAGGACGUGCUAAUCUGCGAUAAGCGUCGGUAAGGUGAUAUGAACCGUUAUAACCGGCGAUUUCCGAAUGGGGAAACCCAGUGUGUUUCGACACACUAUCAUUAACUGAAUCCAUAGGUUAAUGAGGCGAACCGGGGGAACUGAAACAUCUAAGUACCCCGAGGAAAAGAAAUCAACCGAGAUUCCCCCAGUAGCGGCGAGCGAACGGGGAGGAGCCCAGAGCCUGAAUCAGUGUGUGUGUUAGUGGAAG